AAAUCGACACGGUGUUGAGAAUGAAUAAUCGCUACUAGAUAGGCUUAGUAGUGGGAUUAGGUGACAUGCUCAUGACAUAGCAGUGGGGUAUAUAGUACACUUGCCGGUUUCAUGCAUUGAAUCGUAGUAUACUGGGUUAUCUUGAUAGGGCGUACUCCUUAUAUUUUGGCAUAUGGUACUGUGAGGUUUACUUGUUCAUUAUGUUGAGGCAUAUUAGCAUGCAUUGGAUAUAUUACCUUAUGAUAUCGUAGAUGUACAUCACCAUGACAUCGU
rnacentral:lncRNA from 1 species